rnacentral:rRNA from 1 species
CCUACGGGAGGCAGCAGUGAGGAAUAUUGGUCAAUGGCCGCGAGCCUGAACCAGCCAAGCAGCGUGAAGGAUGAAGGUCCUAAGGGUUGUAAACUUCUUUUAUCAAGGAAUAAAGUGAGGCUCGUGUGCCUUAUCGUAGGUACUUUAUGAAAAAGGAUCGGCUAACUCCGUGCCAGCAGCCGCGGUAAUACGGAGGAUGCGAGCGUUAUCCGGAUUUAUUGGGUUUAAAGGGUGCGUAGUUGGGUUGUUAAGUCAGCGGGAAAAGCGCGGGGCUCAACCUUAGAGAGCCAUUGAAACUGGCUGUCUUGAGUACACGAGAGGUAGGCGGAAUGCGCAGUGUAGCGGUGAAAUGCUUAGAUAUUGCGAAGAACUCCGAUUGCGAAGGCAGCAUACUAAA